GAUCCAAACCAUAUCAGGCAUGGAUUCCCCACUUCCUCCCUGGUGCAUUGCCUGAUCUUGGACAGAAGCUGUGCUUCUCCAUGGUUAGAGAAACACCUACCCACGGGCACUUCCUCCAGGCCUCCAGCUCUGAUGAGCCUCUGAUAAUAUCGUACUCUCCCCUGUCCUUUCAGACACAAAGGAGACAGCUCCUCUAGUCUCUGGUGCCUCAACGUCCCCUCUUGGGUCUUACAUGGUGCCCACAUCUCUGUAAAUAGUCCCUCCACUAAAUUUUCCUCUAUUCCCUAGCUGAGUGUCUCUUCUCUUCUCUGCUGAGUUCUUGACUGCAACAACAAUAAAAGGAGCAAAAGUCUCAGCUGGGCUACUAAUCUUUGGGUGUAAGUCCUCCCUCUCCACUGCAAAGGAUAUAAAAAAUUUAAACAAUAAAAAAUGGUGUUGGCCUUUCACAAGCUAGCAUUUGCCUAUAUCAGAGUGGGCAGAGGUUUUUUUUUUUUUGUCUUUUAGAUAGAGUUUAAGUUCACUGAUAAUGAUACCAUAAGACACAAGCUAAAUUUGUUAAGAUUUGCUGCUUUUUCUAAGAAAAGACCGUCUCAAAUGGUUUAAUCAGAUGUGUCUGGUCUGAUAAGGAUAAUUACACAGUGAGACUGUGGGCAUCACACAGAGAGAGAAAUAGAUCUGUAAAAACCGCUAAUGAAACUUGGACCUAAGGGGAUUUGAACUCACAACCUGACAGCUAGGAAUUAAAUAGUCCAGGAAAUUGGCAGUGGGCUAAACAAUGGAAUUCAGACGGGGCCCCUAGCAGGUGCUAAAUUAUUUCCCUGAGCAGGCUCAUAUUCGGCCGAUGCGCCGAAGACAGGGAAGGAACACACACGUAAAUCAGCUCUUGAUUUCUGACACGGUUUCACCCAGUUGAAGUGGAGAGAGAUGACACUCAGCUCACGGGGUGGUAUCCAAGACCCAUUGAACCUUGGAUGUCAGAGCUGGAAGGCAUCUCAGAAACCUCAGUCUCCACUCUCUCCAUUAUACAGAAAAAGAAAAGGCAUUUUUCUCAAUUACCAAGAAAAAUCCUAAGGCUAGCUUUUGCUGAACUAGAUUUGGAACAUCACAUGCUUCCAGAAUAAGCACAUCAGGGCUCUGUGCUCAGCGGGUUGUAAUGGCACCAGGAACACUUCUUCCCUCCUCCCUGAAGGUCUCUGUGACUUUCCCUUCACCUUGGCUCAUGGUGAGACCCUGCUUGACUAAUGUUCCAGGAUGGCUCAGCACUGCACCUGGAAAUGAGGGCAGAGUGAGGCCUGGUAAUCGCUGGACUUUCAUGAGAGGAGCCUGUCUGCAGUGAAAAUAUCAAGAAAGCAUUUGUUUUGUGCAGUCUUCAGGUUUAGAAAAUCUUUCCUCUUCUGCGAUGAUUUCUUUGGACACACUUAACAAUGAGUCAUGCAAAUUCAGUCACUGAUCUCUCCAACGUUUAUGGAGCUCAGAGAACUUCCCAGGAGUUGUUCUAGGUACUGAUGCUAUGCAGGUAAUGAGACAGACAGAGCCUUUCUCUCCUGAAGCUUCCAUUCCAGUGAGCAAGACAGACCAUAAUAAGAUGCGUUCCAUUUCAGAUGGGAAUACUUAUUUUGAACAAUGACAAAAGUGUGCCAAGAGGAAUUCUAGAGAAGUGGCCAGGAGCAAGGCUCUGUGUUCAAGUUAGUGUUUCUGAAUUUUAAGGGAUGUAAAUAUUUGGAAUUCAGAGAAGAAAAGGAAAUUCCCGGGAAUUCUCAAGGAUUCAUGAAAUCAUGGGUUAUUCGUAAAACAUUUUUAAUGUUUUUCAUAUUUUUUACUCACUUUUAUCCAUGUAUAACAGAUCAGAAAUAUUCAGUUAAGUUGCAUUUACAAAUAUCUGUAGCCUAUAGUGAACAGGCAAACACUGUAAAACACCAGCACGCAUUCAAACACAGUAAAACAUCAGUUUCUAGAAAACAUCCGAUUAGGAUUUCAUAUUAAGAUUAGCAGUGAUGCAUAGAAGCAUAGAACUGGGUGUCAAAAUUGCCAAUUUAGGGACUUACUUGCUUCCAAGGUGUGUUAUUUUUGAUACAUCCUUCCUGGAGUGUGUAUAAAGUAUACUAUGACUGCAAGUGUAUUAGCUUUUCUUUUAUCAGCAACAAUGACUCACUUUUGGCAGCAGACAGAGCCACCAGCAGACAUCAUAGUACGGCCACAACUACAAUCAAGACUGACCCAUGAAAUCAUACGGGUUCUACUUCUACGUGCUCCUGUCCCAGUGACCCCAAAUGUUAACUUUGAUGCUGGAUGCCCUUCUCUGUGUUCCCUGUGCUUGUGUAUUCCCGUGAUGUCCGUGGAUUCUUCUGAUCUAGACACAUCUCUGUGGAUAGUUAAGGUUUCAUUCACACUUGAGAACUGCCACACAUCUCCUCAAUUUCUCCACUGAUUAUUUCCAGGAUUGGAGAUUUGAAAAAGCGGAUAAGGUCCUUGAGAAAUGUCAGGAAGGGAUUCCUGCAUAGGAACAUGAACUCAGGCUGCCGGGAUCUGAGUAGCAGCUGUGACAUCUAUUAGAACACACCCGCUUUGUGAUGAUGGGCUUGUUACCUACCUCUGUGUGACUGUUCUCUCAUCCAUGAGAUGGCAUCAUAAUUAGCACAUGUGGCAUGAGACUGCAGUAGAUUAAAUUCUCUAAUGUAUAUAAAUGAGUUCUAACUGCAUUGGGCAUCCAGUUAGCGCUCAAAAAAAUGUUAGCUCCUAUUAAAAAGUUUGCAUUCGGGAGAGCCAAAUACCACAUGACGAUGACCAGGGAUGGAUCUCUGAAGACAGAGUGCUAUAUAUGACAUGUUUCUUAUGUGUUUCUAUGUGUGUGUGUGAUUAGUCCUUAUGCAAUUCAGUUAGUUAAUGGCUUAAGGGGAUCAUCAAGAACUUUUUUUUUCCCACUGGGGCACUGAUGGGCACCUUCAUUUACAGAUGACUGUGGAUUUAAAGGCAAUCCAGACUGCCAGAGACAGAGAAGCCAAAGUGCAUCUGGGAAGCAAAUGUGUGACUGCACAUCACUGGACAUCAAGUGUGGAUUAUGUCUUCACAUCAAACUGGAAGACUAGAGAAGCUGAACAUAUGAGUGAGCUCAGCUAAGAGACCAAGGAAAGAGGAGAAAAGAGGAACCAAGUGAUAGGUGAUUGAAAGAUAUGACUAGGCGGGAAGGCCAGUCUCGUGUCUCCCACUGCUUGUAUGAGAAGGGCAAAGAGAGAGGCUUGAAUGCUCUUUCCAUCCUUCCCCUGUAGCUUGUUUCCGGAGCUCAUCUUCAUCCUUCAACACUCAGCUUCAACGUCACCAUCUCCAGGAAGACUAUGCAGAUAUAUCCAGGUUUGCAUGAACAGAGUAAGUUCUCCAAGGUGUCUAUUGACCUACUCUGCACUGCUGUAAUUAUUUACAUCUCCCCUUUUGGUUGGAUGAAUAGUCCUUAAAAGGCAGGAACAGUCCCUCAGAGCUGAAUCUGUGAUCUGACACACGGUAGGUGCCUAAUAAAAAUAUACGUCAAAUGAAUAACAGAAUAAAAUUUAAAAUAUGCAUCUGUAAUUAAAGUCCAACAGAUAAAAUAAGUACUGUUUUUGUAAGUGCUUGCAAGAAACAGACACUAAUGCAACUCUGGCUUAGACCAAAGAAUAGUAAUUUGUUGGAUUAUAUGACUGGGAAAUUCAAAGGGUGGGUCUGGAUCCAAACAUGGUUGAAUCCAGGAUUGAAACUUUAUCAUCAGGACAUAUUCUUGGCUCUGCUUUUCUCUAUCUCAAUUUCCAAGCAGACUCUCAAAGAUGGUGAAAGGAAGCUGGGGGCUUAAGAGAAACCAGUUCCAGGUCCCCACUGGAAAGAUGGGUGGCUUCCCUAUAGCUCCAGCCAAUGUCCUGGGAUGGAAUUUCAUUGGCCAUGCUUGAGUCACAUGACCAUCCCUGACCAAUCACUGUGGCCAAGAGGUUGAGCAUUCUGAUUGGCUGGGGCUGGGUGACAUCACUUGCACCUGCUACUGUGGUGGAACCCAGAGGAGAUUAAAAGGGAGGAGGCUCCUCUGCACCCUCGGGUAUCACAGGAAUUUGGGAUGAUGACAGAGCAGACAUGCCAAGGUCAAGUCAUUUGAAUUUGGCUUGAAAACCAGAAAGAAUUUAGGCAUGUGGGGACACUCUGUGUGGGAAGGCAUGGCAGAAUGACCUGUUCUGUGCUUGAACAGCUGUAAUGGACUAAAUGUUUGGAAAUACAGGUUAGAUCCAGGUCCCAAAGGGCCCUGAUUGCUAGGCAGCAGGAUUCCAAUUUGCUCAGAAGGCAAUGGAAGGCCACUGAAGCUUUUCACUCGGAAGGAGGCAAGCCCAGAACCGCGCUUUAGAGGGAUUAAUCAAGCAGCUGUGUGUAAAAUACCCUGGGUAAAUGUCCGAAAAGCAUUUCAAUAGCCUAGGUAACAGAUAACGAAGCUCUCAAUGUGCUGAGAAGAGCACACACGUGACACUUGGAUUCAGGAACAGCUGAGGACAGAAUUGACACUCCUGAAAUAUAUUUUUCUACCCAGGCCAGCUCCUCCACUUCAGCCACUCUGCAUCUGAGGCUGGCAUUUAGUAGAUAAAGCAAAGACAUUUUCAAGGGCUAUCAUUACUGUGCAUUACACAAAGCUUUGUGUGUGUGUGUGUGUGUUUUCUCCCCUGGCUUCUGACUCGGAGGAGUGGCUUUUUUCUUUCUGUUGCAGAAAGAAGAGGGGUGGUGAGCAAAGAAAUGAGCUCCAUCUCUAUCUGUAGACUCUGACCCUGGCUGAUUCCUUUGUGCACUGUGACAAAUGGAGACACAGAAGAUGGAAAACCACAUUCCUAAUUUCUUUCCCUGACAGACACCUAUUAGCAUUCUGUAUUGCAAAGAAGACCUGAAAGACGUGGAUGCAAAUAUCAUCAAGGCAGCAUCUCUGCAUCCACAGGAAGACAAUUAAACACACACAAGUUGCCUACACCUCCAGCCUCAGACAAGCUCCAAGGGCUGCCUUGAAGUC
rnacentral:lncRNA from 1 species